AAUCAACGCUGGCGGCGUGCCUCAGACAUGCAAGUCGAACGCGAAAUUUCCCUUCGGGGAGAAAGUAGAGUGGCGCACGGGUGAGUAACACGUAGGUAAUUUGCCUUUGGGUGGGGAAUAACUCGGGGAAACUUGAGCUAAUACCGCAUAAUGCAGCGGCUCGACAUCGAGACAGUUGUUAAAGCGGGGGAUCGCAAGACCUCGCGCCUGAAGAGAAGCCUGCGGCAGAUUAGCUAGUUGGUAAGGUAAUGGCUUACCAAGGCGACGAUCUGUAACCGGCCUGAGAGGGCGGUCGGUCACACUGACACUGACAUACGGGUCAGACUCCUACGGGAGGCAGCAGUCGGGAAUUUUGGGCAAUGGGCGAAAGCCUGACCCAGCAACGCCGCGUGAAGGAUGAAAUCCCUCGGGAUGUAAACUU
rnacentral:rRNA from 1 species